GACGAACGCUGGCGGCGUGCCUAAUACAUGCAAGUCGAGCGAGCGGAACUAACAGAUUUACUUCGGUAAUGACGUUAGGAAAGCGAGCGGCGGAUGGGUGAGUAACACGUGGGGAACCUGCCCCAUAGUCUGGGAUACCACUUGGAAACAGGUGCUAAUACCGGAUAAGAAAGCAGAUCGCAUGAUCAGCUUUUAAAAGGCGGCGUAAGCUGUCGCUAUGGGAUGGCCCCGCGGUGCAUUAGCUAGUUGGUAAGGUAAAGGCUUACCAAGGCGAUGAUGCAUAGCCGAGUUGAGAGACUGAUCGGCCACAUUGGGACUGAGACACGGCCCAAACUCCUACGGGAGGCAGCAGUAGGGAAUCUUCCACAAUGGACGCAAGUCUGAUGGAGCAACGCCGCGUGAGUGAAGAAGGUUUUCGGAUCGUAAAGCUCUGUUGUUGGUGAAGAAGGAUAGAGGUAGUAACUGGCCUUUAUUUGACGGUAAUCAACCAGAAAGUCACGGCUAACUACGUGCCAGCAGCCGCGGUAAUACGUAGGUGGCAAGCGUUGUCCGGAUUUAUUGGGCGUAAAGCGAGCGCAGGCGGAAGAAUAAGUCUGAUGUGAAAGCCCUCGGCUUAACCGAGGAACUGCAUCGGAAACUGUUUUUCUUGAGUGCAGAAGAGGAGAGUGGAACUCCAUGUGUAGCGGUGGAAUGCGUAGAUAUAUGGAAGAACACCAGUGGCGAAGGCGGCUCUCUGGUCU
rnacentral:rRNA from 1 species